CAACACUGAAAUCUGAAAGCUGAAUUGUAACAUAAAAUCUGAAAGUUGAACUGUAACAUGAAAUUGGAAAGGCGAACUGUAAUAUAAAAUUUGAGUUAAGUUCUGAUAACUGAAUAUAGCUGAGUUUAUUUAUUUUGAAAACUUUAUCAAAUAAACAAUGGUGUCUACGAGUGUGAGGGUGUCUUGCCUAAUCCCCGACUACCUUGCGGCUUUUACACUCUGGGUGGUUGACUACUUCUUCCAAAUACAUAAAUUUGAACAAAUAAUGGCACCUGGAAGUGUGAAGAUGGUUGGCCCAUUCCCCGCACUCGGCUGCUUUUAUACUUGGCGGGAUUGGCCACUUCUCCGAACACAUAAAUGUGAACAAAUAAUGGCCAUUGCAAGUAUAAGGAUGACUGACCAAUUUCCGGCCUGGCGGUUUUUACACUUGGAGAGGUUGACCACUUCUACUAACCACAUAAAUUUGAAGACAUGGAGUACCUGCAAGUAUGGGGUAGCUAGCCCUGACAUCGGUGGCUCUCACACUUGGAGAGGUUGGCUACUUCCUGCAAAGCGCAUGCGAUCACAUAUAUUUAAUCUGAAUUGAAUCUGAUAAAAGUAAGAAAUGGCAUAACAACAGUCAAAUCAAACAAGAGAUUCAAUUACUUCUGAAAUUCUAAGGUAGCUGAGUUAACAAGCAGGAUAAUUAAAUUUCUGUAAGAAAAUUUGUAUCAUGAAUCAAUGAUAGAUUCAUAGCAUUUAAGCAAUCAAAGAUUUUCAAAUAAACAGUCAAAGUAAAUACACUUAAGAACCAGCAUUCACUUUUUUAUCAAAUAAUUUUCUUCUUAAUUUUUUUCAUCAUAUUCUUGACUUAGGGAAUGUAACUCAACUUACCUCGAAAAAGUGUCUGAAUCUUCUCCCGAAAAACUCAUGUAGUCAACUCUUGAAAAUCUACUACUUAAUAGGGGUUAAAACCAUUAACCCAAACAAUUCAUUCAAUCCAAUUCUUCUAUUAAAGUCUCAUUUAUCCAUCUAGGGCUUAAGUUAAUUUUUACCUCUAAUUAAAUUCAUCCAUUCUUAUAUUAUAUAAUUUUAAUACGGUUAAGAUAGUCAAAUUUUAACGCUAGAGAGUGGCUGAAUUUAUCUUGAGCUAAAUUCCUACUACCUAGGUUUUACUUCUUUUGAAUUCUUGAAGAUAUUUCUUGAAAUCUGAAAUUUGCCAAGUGAUUUGAUUUAGUAGCAUGAUUAAAUGUUAAAAAGUCUAUAUAUUUAUCCAAGAUUUACAACACCUAUGAGUAGAAGAGUUUGCCCAGCUUCACAUUUGCUUUGUGGGAGAAUGCAAUAACAACAAUAAAAACAACAAUAACAAUAACAACAACAACAACAAACCCAGUGUAAUUUCAUAAGUGGGGUCUAAGGAGAGUAGUGUAUGCACAACCUUACCCUUACCUUGAGCAGGUAGAGAGACUAUUUUCGAUAGACUCUCGGCUCCAAACAAGUAUGCAAAUAACAACAGCAUAAGAAGACCUAGUGCUCAACACCCUAAAAUAGAAGUCUUUUCCGAAAUUG
rnacentral:lncRNA from 1 species